CGCACCGUGGUCUACGUAGUUUUCCGCGGCGCGCGAGAGGGAACCCGGUGAGAAUCCGGGACUGUCCCGCAGCGGUAUGCAGGAACGACCGCCGUCAAAAGCACUGGUCACGGGUUCGCCCACCGACUGGGAAGCGACGGCCACUAGGAGCACCUCGGUGCGCGCCUGCGAGUCCGAAUACCUGCCUGUUGUGCCGGGUGCGC
rnacentral:ncRNA from 2 species